UGGGGAAUAUUAGUAAUGGGCGAAAGCCUGAACUAGCAACGCCGCGUGUGCGAAGAAGGCCUUCGGGUUGUAAAGCACUUUUUGAGAGGAUGAGGAAGGACGGUACUCUCAGAAUAAGUCUCGGCUAACUACGUGCCAGCAGCCGCGGUAACACGUAGGAGGCAAACGUUAUCCGGACUUACUGGGCGUAAAGCGCGGGUAGGUGGUUUGGUAAGUAGGGCGUGAAAGCUCCUGGCUCAACUGGGGGAGGACGUUCUAAACUGCCAAGCUUGAGGAUGGUAGGGGGAGGUGGAAUUCCGGGUGUAGCGGGGGAAUGCGAAGAUAUACGGAGGAACACCAGUGGCGAAGGCAGCCUCCUGGACCACUCCUGACACUCAGACGCGAAAGCUAGGGUAGCAAACGG
rnacentral:rRNA from 1 species